UACAGAGGGUGCAAGCGUUAAUCGGAAUUACUGGGCGUAAAGCGUGCGCAGACGGUUGCGUAAGUCAGAUGUGAAAGCCCCGGGCUCAACCUGGGAAUUGCAUUCGAGACUGCGUGGCUAGGGUGCGGAAGAGGGAAGCGGAAUUUCCGGUGUAGCGGUGAAAUGCGUAGAUAUCGGAAGGAACACCAGUGGCGAAAGCGGCUUCCUGGUCCAGCACCGACGUCAGGCACGAAAGCGUGGGGAGCAAACAGG
rnacentral:rRNA from 1 species